rnacentral:rRNA from 1 species
UGAACGCUGGCGGCAUGCUUUACACAUGCAAGUCGAACGGCAGCGCGGGCUUCGGCCUGGCGGCGAGUGGCGAACGGGUGAGUAAUACAUCGGAACGUGCCCAGUAGUGGGGGAUAGCUCGGCGAAAGCCGGAUUAAUACCGCAUACGACCUGAGGGUGAAAGCGGGGGAUCUUCGGACCUCGCGCUAUUGGAGCGGCCGAUGGCAGAUUAGCUAGUUGGUGGGGUAAAGGCCUACCAAGGCGACGAUCUGUAGCUGGUCUGAGAGGACGACCAGCCACACUGGGACUGAGACACGGCCCAGACUCCUACGGGAGGCAGCAGUGGGGAAUUUUGGACAAUGGGCGAAAGCCUGAUCCAGCAAUGCCGCGUGUGUGAUGAAGGCCUUCGGGUUGUAAAGCACUUUUGGCGGGAACGAAAAGGACUGUGCCAAUACCACGGUUCGAUGACGGUACCCGCAGAAUAAGCACCGGCUAACUACGU